rnacentral:tRNA from 1 species
GUGGCUAUAGUUCAGUUGGUAGAACGCAGGACUGUGACUCCUGAUGUCGUGGGUUCGAGCCCCACUAGCCACC